UGCGUAGGCGGGUCUUUAAGUCAGGGGUGAAAUCCUGGAGCUCAACUCCAGAACUGCCUUUGAUACUGAAGAUCUCGAGUCCGGGAGAGGUGAGUGGAACUGCGAGUGUAGAGGUGAAAUUCGUAGAUAUUCGCAAGAACACCAGUGGCGAAGGCGGCUCACUGGCCCGGUACUGACGCUGAGGCACGAAAGCGUGGGGGAGCAAACA
rnacentral:rRNA from 1 species